AGUAACGGCGAGUGAAGCGGCAACAGCUCAAAUUUGAAAUCUGGCGCAAGCCCGCGUUGUAAUUUGUAGAGGCUGUUUCUGGCGCCGUGCCUUCCGAGUUCCCUGGAACCGGACGCCAUAGAGGGUGAGAGCCCCGUACGGUUGGAUGCCUAGCCUCUGUGAAACUCCUUCGACGAGUCGAGUUGUUUGGGA
rnacentral:rRNA from 1 species